GACAGAGGUGCCGAGCGUUAGGCGGAAUCACUGGGCUUAAAGCGUGUGUAGGCGGGUCCGUAAGUACCUUGUGAAAUCCCAUGGCUCAACCAUGGAACUGCUUGGUAUACUGCGGGUCUUGAGCCACCUAGGGGCAAGUGGAACAAACGGUGGAGCGGUGAAAUGCGUAGAUAUCAGGAAGAACAUCUAUGGCGAAGGCAGCUCUCUGGGACGGUACUGACGCUGAGACGCGAAAGCGUGGGGAGCGAACAGG
rnacentral:rRNA from 1 species